rnacentral:piRNA from 1 species
UACAUAUCUAUAGACUGUGUAUGUGGAGCU